AUGCUUGUCUCAAAGAUUAAGCCAUGCAUGUCUAAGUAUAAGCAAUAUACCGUGAAACUGCGAAUGGCUCAUUAUAUCAGUUAUAGUUUACUUGAUAGUCAAAUCUACUUGGAUAACCGUAGUAAUUCUAGAGCUAAUACAUGCGUAAACUCCUGACCGUUUGGAAAGGACGUAUUUGUUAGAUACAACCAACCCCUUCGGGGUCUUUGGCGAAUCAUAACAACUGAGCGAACCGAACACCUUCGGGUGCCGGUGGUUCAUUCAAGUUUCUGCCCUAUCAGCUUUCGAUGGUAGGGUAUUGGCCUACCAUGGCGUCAACGGGUAACGGGGAAUG
rnacentral:rRNA from 1 species